UAAGACGGAGGGCGCAAGCGUUGUUCGGAAUCACUGGGCAUAAAGAGCACGUAGGCGGUUAAUUAAGUCUGAUGUGAAAGCCCUCGGCCCAACCGGGGAACUGCAUUGGAUACUGGUUAACUAGAGGAUAGGAGGGGUGAGUGGAACUCCUGGUGGAACGGUGAAAUGUGUAGAUAUCAGGAGGAACACCGGUGGCGAAAGCGGCUCACUGGCCUGUCUCUGACGCUGAGGUGCGAAAGCUAGGGGAGCGAACGGGAUUAGAUACCCCGGUAGUCCUAGCCGUAAACGAUGGGCACUAGGUAAUGGAUUUACCCUAUGGGAUUCAUUGCCGUAGCUAAUGUAUUAAGUGCCCCGCCUGGGGAGUACGCUCGCAAGGGUA
rnacentral:rRNA from 1 species